rnacentral:rRNA from 1 species
CCAUUUGACCUCAAAUCAGGUAGGACUACCCGCUGAACUUAAGCAUAUCAAUAAGCGGAGGAAAAGAAACUAACAAGGAUUCCCCUAGUAACUGCGAGUGAAGCGGGAAAAGCUCAAAUUUAAAAUCUGGUAGUCUCUGGCUGCCCGAGUUGUAAUCUGGAGAAGUGUUUUCUGUGCUGGGCCGUGUACAAGUCUCUUGGAAUAGAGCGUCAUAGAGGGUGAGAAUCCCGUCUUUGACACGGACAUCCAGUGCUCUGUGAUGCACUCUCAAAGAGUCGAGUUGUUUGGGAAUGCAGCUCAAAAUGGGUGGUAAAUUCCAUCUAAAGCUAAAUAUUGGCAAGAGACCGAUAGCGAACAAGUACCGUGAGGGAAAGAUGAAAAGAACUUUGGAAAGAGAGUUAAACAGUACGUGAAAUUGUUGAAAGGGAAACGCUUGAAGUCAGUCGCGUCUAGCAAGGAUCAGCCUUUCUCGGAAGGUGUAUUUCUUGCUUGACGGGUCAACAUCAAUUUUGAYUACUGGAAAAAGGCCAGAGGAAGGUGGCACCUUCGGGUGUGUUAUAGCCUUUGGUCAUAUACAGUAGUUGGGAUUGAGGAAUUCAGCAUGCCUUCAUGGCUGGGGUUCGCCCACAUUCAUGCUUAGGAUG